GCUGGGCGUGGUGGCGGGCGCCUGUAAUCCCAGCUACUCAGGAGGCUGAGGCAGGAGAAUAGCUUGAACCCAGGAGGCGGAGGUUGCAGUGAGCCGAGAUUGUGCCACUGCACUCCAGCCUGGGCAACAGAGCAAGACUCUGUCUCCA
rnacentral:SRP_RNA from 1 species